rnacentral:rRNA from 1 species
GUGGGGAAUCUUCCGCAAUGGACGAAAGUCUGACGGAGCGACGCCGCGUGAGUGAAGAAGGCCUUCGGGUCGUAAAGCUCUGUCAUCAGGGACGAACGGCCGGUGGAGUGGAAAGCCACCGGAUUGACGGUACCUGAGAAGGAAGCCACGGCUAACUACGUGCCAGCAGCCGCGGUAAUACGUAGGUGGCAAGCGUUGUCCGGAAUUAUUGGGCGUAAAGCGCGCGCAGGUGGGAUCUUAAGUCCAUUUUUAAAGUUCGGAGCUCAACUCCGUGAUGGGAUGGAAACUGGGAUGCUUGAGUACCGGAGAGGAAAGCGGAAUUCCCCGUGUAGCGGUGAAAUGCGUAGAUAUGGGGAGGAACACCAGUGGCGAAGGCGGCUUUCUGGACGGUGUCUGACACUGAGGCGCGAAAGCCAGGGGAGCGAACGGGAUUAGAAACCCCUGUAGUCC